GUAGAAGUAACUUUGAAGAGAAUUGUUUCGAAAUUCUAACAAGAUCUUCAAUCAACCUCCCAUCAUGAAAUUUUUUCUGGCUUUGUUGUUGGCUUCUGCUGUAAUGGCAUGUAAUGCUGCUCCCCAAAUGGGUUAUGCAGGCAUGUCGGGAGCCGUGGUGCAGGAAAGUGUACAGUAUUCUCCCCUUACAGGACGUACUCAUGUGGUACGUAGUAGUCAAUACGUACCACCGGGUGCAGUGGGUUAUGGAUUUAAUGCUGGAUACGGAAAAAAAUGAAUGAAGAGAAUCAAAAAUCUACCAAGUCCAAGACGAAGUUCAGUUGGAUUUGAUUAAACUGGUGGAUUGCUGAUUAAUUUCAAAAUAAAUUGAUGCU
rnacentral:lncRNA from 1 species